UUAAAGGAGAACUCUGGCAGUUCCAAGCUUUGAGAACUGGUUUUCGUGGACUGGUUUCCAUUUAGUCUUCUCAGUCCAUAAUGCUCAGUUUUCCAGCUUGGCUGCACCUGGCAUCAUAAUUUUGGG
rnacentral:pre_miRNA from 11 species